GACGAACGCUGGCGGCGCGCUUAACACAUGCAAGUCGAACGGAAAGGCCUGCUUUCCCUUGUGGAUUGCGGGUACUCGAGUGGCGAACGGGUGAGUAACACGUGAGUGAUCUGCCCCCAACUUGGGUAUAAGCCUGGGAAACUGGGUCUAAUUCCCGAUAGGACUGCAGGGCGGUGCCUGUGGUGGAAAACGAUUUUCUAGUGGUUGGGGAUGAGCUCGCGGCCUAUCAGCUUGUUGGUGGGGUAAUGGCCUACCAAGGCGGCGACGGGUAGCCGGCCUGAGAGGGUGGACGGCCACAUUGGGACUGAGAUACGGCCCAGACUCCUACGGGAGGCAGCAGUGGGGAAUAUUGCACAAUGGGCGGAAGCCUGAUGCAGCGACGCCGCGUGGGGGAUGACGGCCUUCGGGUUGUAAACUCCUUUCGACCGCGAGGAAGCCACCUGGUUGGAAGGGUGGUGACGGUAGUGGUAGAAGAAGCACCGGCUAACUACGUG
rnacentral:rRNA from 1 species